AUUGAACGCUGGCGGCAUGCCUUACACAUGCAAGUCGAACGGUAACGCGGGGCAACCUGGCGACGAGUGGCGAACGGGUGAGUAAUAUAUCGGAACGUGCCCUAGAGUGGGGGAUAACUAGUCGAAAGACUAGCUAAUACCGCAUACGAUCUACGGAUGAAAGUGGGGGAUCGCAAGACCUCAUGCUCGUGGAGCGGCCGAUAUCUGAUUAGCUAGUUGGUAGGGAAAAGCCUACCAAGGCGACGAUCAGUAGCUGGUCUGAGAGGACGACCAGCCACACUGGAACUGAGACACGGUCCAGACUCCUACGGGAGGCAGCAGUGGGGAAUUUUGGACAAUGGGGGCAACCCUGAUCCAGCAAUGCCGCGUGAGUGAAGAAGGCCUGGUGUAA
rnacentral:rRNA from 1 species